GGGCCGCGUGCCGCAGUGGGCCCGGCGGAGAGCGGCGGCGCCGGGCCGGGGCGGGCGGUGGAGCGAUGGCGGCGGGGGCCCCCGGCAGCCGCCUCCUCCUGCUGCUGUCGCUGCUGUGGCUGCGCGGCCGCGGGCAGGGCUUCGGGCAGACGCGGUUCAUCUGCACUUCGGUGCCGCUGGACGGGGACAUGUGCGCCGCCACCGCCCCGGGCGGGGGUUCCGCCGAGGAGCUGAAGAGCACGGUGCUGCAGCUGCGGGAGACGGUGCUGCAGCAGAAGGAGACCAUCAUGAACCAGAAGGAGACCAUCCGGGAGCUGACGGCCAAGCUGGGCCGCUGCGAGAGCCAGAGCGUGCUGGAGGCGCUGCCCGGCGAGCCCAAGGGCGGCGGGACCGGCAGGAAAAGCGGCUUCUCCAAGAACACCAUGGGCGACCUGUCGCGGGCACCCGCCACCGAGACCCUCAGCCAGCUGGGACAGACGCUGCAGUCCCUCAAGACCCGGCUGGAGAACCUGGAGCAGUUCAGCAGGAUGAACUCCUCCGGCCAGACCAACAACCUGAAGGACAUCCUGCAGAACAAAAUCGACGACCUGGAGAAGCAGGUGCUGUCCCGGGUGAACAGCCUGGAGGAGGGCAAGUUCAACCCCAAGAACGAGUCCGAGGAGCGCGGCAAGAUCGAGAGCACCCUCACGUCGCUGCACCAGCGCAUCACCGACCUGGAGAAAGGCCAGAAGGACAACCGGCCCCCGGACAGGUUCCAGCUCACCUUCCCGCUGCGCACCAACUACAUGUACGCCAAGGUGAAGAAGAGCCUGCCCGAGAUGUACGCCUUCAGCAUCUGCAUGUGGAUCAAGUCCAACGCCUCCCCCGGCAUGGGCACCCCCUUUUCCUACGCCGUGCCUGGGCAGGCUAACGAGCUGGUGCUCAUUGAGUGGGGCAACAACCCCAUGGAGAUCCUCAUCAACGACAAGGUGGCCAAACUGCCCUUUGUCAUCAACGAUGGCAAGUGGCACCACAUCUGCGUCACCUGGACCACACGGGAUGGCGUGUGGGAAGCCUACCAGGACGGCACGCAGACGGGCAGCGGCGAGAACCUGGCGCCCUACCACCCCAUCAAGCCCCAGGGGGUCCUGGUCCUGGGCCAAGAGCAGGACACACUGGGCGGUGGGUUUGACGCCACACAGGCCUUCGUGGGGGAGCUGGCCCACUUCAACGUGUGGGACAGGAAGCUGAGCCCCGGGGAGGUGUACAGCCUGGCCACCUGCAGCACCCGCGCGCUUGCCGGCAACGUCAUCGCCUGGGCAGAGGCCAACAUUGACAUCUAUGGCGGGGCCACCAAGUGGACUUUCGAGGCCUGUCGCCAGCUCAACUAGGGCCACGGACAAGCGAGAGAAACCUUCUCAUCGUGUUCUUUUCUUUCUUUUUUUUUUUUUUUUUGUCCUCUUUUUUUUUUUUUUUUUUUUGCGCAAAACAACAACCGAGAACGAAGCCACCCGUCUUGUCCUGAGGAGUGGGGGCUGCCCCCAGAGCCCCACGACCCUCCGGUUUCUGUCUUGCCAAUGUCCUUCAACGCCUGCGUGCCUUGGCCUGGCGUGGCUGCACCCCCCCCCCCCCCAGCCUCUGCUGUCCCCCCCUGGGCCCAGCCCCCGCUUUGCCGCCUUUCCCCCCUACCCCGGGGUGGCCCCACUUUCCCUGGGCACCGGUGCCCAGACCAGAGCCCCCCCCGGGGCUCCUCUCCCUCCGGCCUGAAGCCCCCCUGGGAGGAUGGUGCCCCUGGAGCCGGAGGAGGGUUGCAACAUCCCCUCCCUGGUUGCACCCCUGGGGCUCCGAGGAGGGGGUGACCUCCCGUUCCCACACCCCACACACCCCCACCCCCGGGUAAGGGAACCCCCGCUUCCCCGGCCGGCGCCGCUCCCGAGCACCACAGCCAUAGCCCCGGGCUGCGGCGGGCACUGGGACGGGCCCCCCCGGAUGGGCAUCCCCCCCCGCCGGCCCCGCUCCCCAACCUGCCGCACUCAGGUACGUCCCCCCGGCCCCCCCCCCGUCUGCAGCCCCCCGAGGCCUCCUACGCGCCGUAGCUGGUGAAAAAUAGCCUUUACCGUCCCCUGGAAGUUUAGCUACCACUGAAAAGUCUGAAGCCUUUCUGCUUUUGAUAAUACACUAUGUUGUUUCUCUUACUGUAAAGGGAAGUUUAUUAUCAAUAAAAAAAAAAGGGUAUUUUUAUGAAGAUAAAAAAAAAAUAUAGAAUUAAGCAGUGCUCCCUGAGGAAAAAAAAAAAGUACUUUGAGAUUCUGCAGGAAAAAAAGAGAUAAAGAAGCGUAUUUUGAAAUAAUAGAUGCAUUUUGUAUGGUUUCCUUUUCUAAACUCCUGGUUUGUACUACAGAUUGCCGAAAUCACCCCCCAGCCCCCCCCACUGACCCCCCGAGGGCCGCCCUGGGUGGCAGUGGGGGACGAGGCAGAGAAUUCACACAGGGCUCCAGAGCCUCCCCGACCAACUCCAAAGAUGUGGCAAAGAGACGCGCAGAGCGGAGGAGCCCGCAGGGAGCCGGGCAAGGCCACGGCCGCCCCGGGCCAGCGGCACCGAGCUGGCCCGGCCACCGUCGCUCCGGGGAGCCAGCGCCCAGCCGGAGAGCAGCACGGGCAGCGACACCCCCCCGCAACGAGAGACCUUCCUGCGAACUGUGGCUCAGGGCAGCAGAUUUUAAACCGUGCUCUUUUUAUUAAAAAAAAAAAAAAAAAAAAAAAAAAAGAAGAGAGAGAGAGAGAAAAAGGUGGUGAGUUACUUUAAGUUCCUCCUAAGAACCUGCUCCCGUCAGCACAGCGAGAGGCACAACCUGCUGAGAACAACAAGACCACAGAAAAGGUUUAACCUCCAGUCCCAGACGCAGGCUGGCAGCUCAGCUCCCUCGGGCCGCCCCUGCCGCGCUGGCGGGGACAGUGACACCCCGCAGUGCCCGAUGCCCGUCGGCUCCCUGCAGCGAACGUUCCCGGUGCGGCAGGAGCCACGCUCAGGGCAUCUCGCUCGUCCCUGGGGAAGCGGGGCUGGACUCCGGAGCCUGUUCCUGGAAAGCGUCGCUGUAGAGGACACAUCGGAGCGCGGGGGUGACGCUGGGGCGCGUGGCUGGAGGCCACCCCUGCGUCACGGACACGAGGACCUGGCGGCGCGGCGGCGUGUGCUGUUCCCGAGUAAUUGCUACAAAUUCCCCCUUGUUGCGCACCUGCUGCAGAACAGACUUGGCGGAUACACUGCUUUCAGCGUCGGAUACAAGCAGGAAAACCAUGAUUUACUCCUUAUAACCAGCCAGAAACAAUUCCCCGCACCCGUGACUCCCCCCAUCCCGUCGCAGCUGGGAAGGGCAGCUGUCUGGGUCCCAUUCAGUGCUGCUGCCUCGGGCACCACGCAGCCCCUGGGGACACCAGCACUCCCCUUCCUUCCUCCCUAAGAGCAAGGACGCGGUGACACAGCCCGGAGGGACGCAGAGCCCUGGCUGCUUGUGCCCGGUGGGGCUCAGCUCCGGGGCUGGCGGGGGCCGGGGGGGAGGCUCCCGCGGCCGCUUGUGCUGCAUCUUCCUGAGCAUCAGCUACAGCCAACUGCAGCCUCUGCUAACGGCAUCCCUGAGCCGUCCCACCACCUCCUGCAUCUCCCUCUGACAGGGAACAGCCACCCCAGGGUGUCCCUCUCCUUCAGGGAGGAGGGGGUUGAGUCACCGUCCCUAGAGGUAUUUAAGAAACGUGCAGAUUUGGCACUUCGGGGCAUGCUCUAGUGGCAGAGAUUGUAGGUUGUUUGUUGUGGUUUUUUUUUUUUUUUGGUUGGUUAUUUUUUGGGGGUUUUUUUUUGUUUUUUUGGUGUGUGUAUGGUUGGACCCGAUGAUCUCAAAGGUCCCUUCCAACCAUGACGAUUCUGUGAUUCACCUGGCACCUGCCAGCCUCAAAAAGCCUCUUUUCCUUGGGAGGGUUUGCUCCUGCGACUGCUCCAGGGCCUUUGAGGAAUCUCUCGAGUCAUACCCAGACAGCCAAGUAUGGUUAUGUAUUUCAGCAUACGAGUAACCAUAUGAGUACGUAACCACACGAGUCACAACCACACAUAACCACACAGCCGACAGCGAACCGGGCGAGGGAGAGACGGGGGAUGCCUCAAGCCAAACUGCAGGUUUGGGGACCCGGCCUGUUUUCUGUCCGCCAGCCACGGGCAGAAGCAGAUGCAGAAUUACCAGCGCCGGGUACCCUUGGCAGAGGAUGGUCAGCGUCAGGAAUCCUCCUUGGGGCAAGAGUCACUCUUGCAGGUGAUUAGAGAGGAGGCGCAGAUGGGCUGCCAAGGCUGGAGGUGGGCAGGAUGGGGAGCAGCACAGGCACAGGAAUUAAAGCCGGGGCGCGAUGCCAGAGGACACAGAAGGGGUGCUGAAGUGAACGGUGCAACCAAGAGUUUCCCCGCUCCACGAUGCCCCAGAUCCUCCCCAGGUGCAGAGCUGAUUUAGACCGGCAUCUUGACAACCUUACAAAGGCAUCAGCGUUGCAGAGCUCCAGCCAGAAACGCCUUCCCCAGGCAGCUCCGCUCUCCUCCCCGGCCCCGGAGCGGAGCUCAGCCCUCUCCGGCGACGCAGACACCAUCCCCUUCCCCCCCGCCCCCGAAAACCAGCUGCUCCAAGGACAGGCUGCUUGGUUUCGUGUCACUGGGAACAGCCUACAUCUUUGCAAGGGGAAUGCUAUUUUUACCCAGGGAACGGGUGGCAGCUCCUGGAUUGUUCUCAGCCACCGCCAGCCCACCUGGCCCUGCCCCGGCUCCGAGCAGGGCCCUGCCCAUGGCGACAACCGUCUUCUCGGCUUCACCCAGCCACCCCAGGCGCCGAGAUAAAGCUACAGAGCCCACCCGCUACCGCAGGAGAGGGAAGCGGUACCCUCAGCUGGAGGCUUGUGCUGCACUACAAUUUAAACUGCAAUAAAAAAACAAACCCAAAAUUACA